AUUGAACGCUGGCGGCAGGCCUAACACAUGCAAGUCGAGCGGAUGAAGAGAGCUUGCUCUCUGAUUCAGCGGCGGACGGGUGAGUAAUGCCUAGGAAUCUGCCUGGUAGUGGGGGACAACGUUUCGAAAGGAACGCUAAUACCGCAUACGUCCUACGGGAGAAAGUGGGGGAUCUUCGGACCUCACGCUAUCAGAUGAGCCUAGGUACGAUUAGCUAGUUGGUGAGGUAAAGGCUCACCAAGGCGACGAUCGUUAACUGGUCUGAGAGGAUGAUCAGUCACGCUGGAACUGAGACACGGUCCAGACUCCUACGGGAGGCAGCAGUGGGGAAUAUUGGACAAUGGGCGAAAGCCUGAUCCAGCCAUGCCGCGUGUGUGAAGAAGGUCUUCGGAUUGUAAAGCACUUUAAGUUGGGAGGAAGGGCAGUAAGUUAAUACCUUGCUGUUUUGUCGUUACCGACAGAAUAAGCACCGGCUAACUUCGUGCCAGCCGCCGCCGUAACAC
rnacentral:rRNA from 1 species